rfam:Beta vulgaris subsp. vulgaris Bvchr6.sca026.con0046.1, whole genome shotgun sequence.
GUUGCUUCUAAUGGUGAACUCUCUCUGUUCAAACGAAAGACGUUCUAGUUUCCGAAGCAUAAAUGAAAAUCUAAAUUGUCAGUCUUAAACAGCUCGAUGAAUGGAUUAAUCAUUUAAUCUUCACACUUUCAUCGCGUUACCUGUCUGCUGGCACAUUU